GGCAAGAUGGCCGAGCGGUUAAGGCGGUAUUAUCUUUACCUGCAAAGCAGGCAGCAUUCUACUGGGGCAACCCGCGUGAGUUCGAAUCUCGCUCUUGUCA